rnacentral:rRNA from 1 species
ACAAGCGGUGGAGCAUGUGGUUUAAUUCGAAGCAACGCGAAGAACCUUACCAGGUCUUGACAUCCCGAUGCUAUUUCUAGAGAUAGAAAGUUACUUCGGUACAUCGGUGACAGGUGGUGCAUGGUUGUCGUCAGCUCGUGUCGUGAGAUGUUGGUUAAGUCCCGCAACGAGCGCAACCCCUAUUGUUAGUUGCCAUCAUUCAGUUGGGCACUCUAGCGAGACUGCCGGUAAUAAACCGGAGGAAGGUGGGGAUGACAUCAAAUCAUCAUGCCCCUUAUGACCUGGGCUACACACGUGCUACAAUGGUUGGUACAACGAGUUGCGAGUCGGUGACGGCGAGCUAAUCUCUUAAAGCCAAUCUCAGUUCGGAUUGUAGGCUGCAACUCGCCUACAUGAAGUCGGAAUCGCUAGUAAUCGCGGAUCAGCACGCCGCGGUGAAUACGUUCCCGGGCCUU